rnacentral:snRNA from 1 species
GUGCUCUCUUCAGCAGCACAUAUACUAAAAUUGGAACUAUACAGAGAAGAUUAGCAUAGCUUGUGUGCAAGGAUGACAUGCAAAUUCAUGAAGCAUAAAAUAAUAAA